rnacentral:rRNA from 1 species
CCUACGGGAGGCUGCAGUGGGGAAUUUUGGACAAUGGGGGAAACCCUGAUCCAGCGACGCCGCGUGAAGGAUGAAGGCCUUCGGGUUGUAAACUUCUUUUGGAGGGGACGAAUAAAUUGACGGUACCCUCAGAAAAAGCCACGGCUAACUACGUGCCAGCAGCCGCGGUAAUACGUAGGUGGCGAGCGUUACUCGGAAUUACUAGGCGUAAAGCGUAUGUAGGCGGUUGUAUAAGUCUAUGGUGAAAUUUCCUGGCUCAACUGGGAAGGGACAUAGAUACUGUAUAGCUUGAGUGUUGGAGGGGGAGACGGAAUUCCUGGUGUAGCGGUGAAAUGCGUAGAUAUCAGGAGGAACACCGAUGGCGAAAGCAGUCUCCUGGCCAAAUACUGACGCUGAGGUACGAAAGCUAGGGUAGCAAACAGGAUUAGAUACCCCAGUAGUC